AACGCGAAGAACCUUACCAGGUCUUGACAUCCUCUGACAACCCUAGAGAUAGGGCGUUCCCCUUCGGGGGACAGAGUGACAGGUGGAGCAUGGUUGUCGUCAGCUCGUGUCGUGAGAUGUUGGGUUAAGUCCCGCAACGAGCGCAACCCUUGAUCUUAGUUGCCAGCAUUCAGUUGGGCACUCUAAGGUGACUGCCGGUGACAAACCGGAGGAAGGUGGGGAUGACGUCAAAUCAUCAUGCCCCUUAUGACCUGGGCUACACACGUGCUACAAUGGAUGGUACAAAGGGCAGCGAAGCCGCGAGGUAAAGCCAAUCCCAUAAAACCAUUCUCAGUUCGGAUUGUAGGCUGCAACUCGCCUACAUGAAGCCGGAAUCGCUAGUAAUCGCGGAUCAGCAUGCCGCGGUGAAUACGUUCCCGGGUCUUGUACACACCG
rnacentral:rRNA from 1 species